rnacentral:rRNA from 1 species
UGAGGAAUAUUGCGCAAUGGGGGCAACCCUGACGCAGCGACGCCGCGUGAGUGAGGGAGGCCUUCGGGUCGUAAAGCUCUGUCAAAGGGAAAGAAGUGCAUGGUGGCUAAUACCUGCCAUGUUUGACGGUACCCUUAAAGGAAGCACCGGCUAACUCCGUGCCAGCAGCCGCGGUAAUACGGAGGGUGCAAGCGUUGUUCGGAAUCACUGGGCGUAAAGGGCGCGUAGGCGGUUUGAUAAGUCAGAUGUGAAAGCCCACGGCUUAACUGUGGAAGUGCAUUUGAAACUGUCAGACUUGAGUAUCAGAGGGGAAAGUGGAAUUCCCGGUGUAGAGGUGAAAUUCGUAGAUAUCGGGAGGAAUACCGGUGGCGAAGGCGACUUUCUGGCUGAAUACUGACGCUGAGGCGCGAAAGCUAGGGGAGCGAACG